UCUAAAAUGUAUAUUUGAUAUGUAAAAUUUAUAUAACACACACAUAUGCAUAUAUAUAAUCUAUUCCUUUAUUUAGAAAAUCACCUCAUUGAAUUCUCACACCGAUUCUAUGAUACAAAUAUUAGCAGUACUCUUAUUUAGCAGGAGAGAAAAUGAUUUGAAAAAUGCCUAAACAUGCUCAAAGCCAUACAGUUAGCAAGUGUUGGAACAGAAAUUUGAACCCAGGAUAAAAAUUUAAAAUCAAAUGUUCUACCAGCAAUUAAAGUUAUGUAUGAUAUUCAUUUACAAUAUAGAUAUGUAGUAUUUGUAAACACAUAAAUAUAAUGUGUAUCUAAACUUACAUAUUACAAAUACGUAUACAGCUACACACAUUAUUUUAUGUUUAAGUUUUAUUUAGCGUGUGCUUCUUUUUUUUCUAAGCAGAACAGCAUUUGGCUGAAUAAAGACUCUGGGGACAUUUGCUUUUCCGCUCUCUUUGAUUCCAGCAGGGUCUCAACCACUCAGGAGCAGUGGACAGAGCUAAGGACAGCUGGCCCCAGGCCCAGCCCUAAAGCCCCGAUCUUUGUGUCUUUCAUGCUGGCCAUCGGCUCUGGGCGUGGUGCAGCCACUGUGGAAGUGUGUCCCAGCUCGAUACAACGGCAGGGGAAGUGGAACCAGCUAUGUCUUCAGCAUCAGUGCCCUGCAGCCUGGGGACUCUGGGGAGUAUUACUGCAUGUAUGACUACGGGUGGCCAAGCCACAGUGGUGCAACCUGUGCACAAAACUCCUGCUGCCUGUCAUAGGGCUUGAUUUUCUAGGGUAUCUGCUUGUACCUGACCAGCCAGGAUCCUAUUCCAGAGAGAUGUAGGACAUGUGGGCCCUCCGGAUUAAACAUACACACCUUUUCUAUGAGGAUGUAGCAACCCUUGCCUUUACCCUUGGCUUUUCUUGUUCACUGUACUUCUGCUGACUCCUGAAGGCCAUAUCUAUCCCUCGCUGCUCUUUCUGAAGCUAGGAAGGCAGCUCUGCCUGCACACAUGGCAGACUUCAGGG
rnacentral:lncRNA from 1 species